GACGAACGCUGGCGGCGUGCUUAACACAUGCAAGUCGAACGGAAAGGCCCUGCUUUUGUGGGGUGCUCGAGUGGCGAACGGGUGAGUAACACGUGAGUAACCUGCCCUUGACUUUGGGAUAACUUCAGGAAACUGGGGCUACUACCGGAUAGGAGCUCCUGCUGCAUGGUGGGGGUUGGAAAGUUUCGGCGGUUGGGGAUGGACUCGCGGCUUAUCAGCUUGUUGGUGGGGUAGUGGCUUACCAAGGCUUUGACGGGUAGCCGGCCUGAGAGGGUGACCGGCCACAUUGGGACUGAGAUACGGCCCAGACUCCUACGGGAGGCAGUAGUGGGGAAUAUUGCACAAUGGGCGGAAGCCUGAUGCAGCAACGCUGCGUGCGGGAUGACGGCCUUCUGGUUGUAAACCGCUUUCGCCUGUGACGAAGCGUGAGUGACGGUAAUGGGUAAAGAAGCACCGGCUAACUACGUG
rnacentral:rRNA from 1 species